UGGUAGCGUAGCCCGACGUCAAGGAACUGGACGGAAGAAAACAGCAACAUCAGCACAAAUGGUUCGAAAAGUAAAGAAGCGACUUGAUCGAAACCCUCGUCGCAGUUGACCGAAAAAUGGCUCUUGAGCUGAACAUAUCGCAAUAUUCCAUUCGGUAAAUAUUGAAAAAUUAGCUCGGGGUAAAGCCAUUGAAAUUCCAAAAAAGGCAAAA